GGGGAAGCCGGUUCGAAGCCGGCGCUGACCCGCAACCGUGAGCGAGAGUCCCCCUUUCGCGAGCCGGAAUGCCC
rnacentral:ncRNA from 2 species